rnacentral:misc_RNA from 1 species
GCAAAGUUCUCAUCAAUAGAAACGAAUUAAGUUCAAACAGCAGGUAAUUGCUAUAAAUUGUUGAAGAGUUCCCUCGACUAUCUUUCUUCUCCAUCAUCAGAUCGACUCCAGACCUUUAUUAAAUAGUAGUGCUUUAUAGUACUUAAUGAAAACAUGAUUAAAUUUACUAGUCACCCUUACGAUUUUUGAAAGUUUCCCUCGAUUCCUCUGGG